rnacentral:rRNA from 1 species
UGGCGGACGGGUGAGUAACGCGUGGGUAACCUGCCGUAUACAGGGGGAUAACAGUUAGAAAUGACUGCUAAUACCGCAUAAGCGCACAGAGUCGCAUGACUCGGUGUGAAAAACUCCGGUGGUAUACGAUGGACCCGCGUCUGAUUAGGUAGUUGGCGGGGUAACGGCCCACCAAGCCCGCGAUCAGUAGCCGACCUGAGAGGGUGACCGGCCACAUUGGGACUGAGACACGGCCCAAACUCCUACGGGAGGCAGCAUG